rnacentral:rRNA from 1 species
AUUGAACGCUGGCGGCAGGCCUAAAACAUGCAAGUCGAGCGGAGCGGCGGACGGGGGGGUAAUGCCUAGGAAUCUGCCUGGUGGUGGGGAAUACCGUCCGGAAACGGGCGCUAAUACCGCAUACUAUCAGAUGAGCCUGGGUCGGAUUAGCUAGUUGGUGGGGUAAAAGCCUACCAAGGCGACGAUCCGUAACUGGUCUGAGAGGAUGAUCAGUCACACUGGAACUGAGACACGGUCCAGACUCCUACGGGAGGCAGCAGUGGGGAAUAUUGGACAAUGGGCGAAAGCCUGAUCCAGCCAUGCCGCGUGUGUGAAGAAGGUCUUCGGAUUGUAAAGCACUUUAAGUUGGGAGGCGUUACCAACAGAAUAAGCACCGGCUAACUCCGUGCCAGCAGCCGCGGUAAUAC